ACCGUGAUCCAAUCAAAAUAUUAAAUCCUUCUUUAUUCUUUGCCUGUCUUAUUAUAGAAAAACCUUCACAAAUAAAACACACACCACACAUUCACUUUCAAGCUUCAUGAGCUUGAUAUAAUUUUAAAAAUAAAAUUUUUAACCCAAUUCCAAGGCUUUGAUAAAUUAGUUAUUAAUUCCCAGAAUAUAUGUAAAAACAUGUUCUUACAUUUUCAUAAAAAAUACAACAUGACUUUAUCUAUCCUUAGAUAUUUGUGCAUGUAAAAUUAAACAAUUACUUCUUUUUGUCCUUUUUUAUUUUUUUAAUUCAAUAACAUAAAAUUAAAAAAAAAAAGAACACCAACACACACACACACACACACACUCCUUUUUUAUUAUUUUUCACUAAGCUCACCCCACACCUCACUUUUACAUAUUACCAAAUAACAAAAAUUAAAAAUUCAUCCAAACAAAGCCUUAAAAAUUUCUAAAAUUACAGAAAAGACCCCCAAAAAAUACAGAACCGCAGGGAAGCCUUCUGGGAUCAGCCGGACUAGUGGCGGCGCGUGGAUUUCACGCACCGCCGCCACUGGCGGCGCGUGGAUCCGCGUGCCGUCGCCGGGAAGACCAGCUAGUGGAUCGAGGUCGUCUCCUUCUCCUCUUUCCGCUCGUACCGGCGGUGACCUGCAAACAAGAAAAAGGAAACGCAGGCAGUUCAUUUUAAUCCAUUUCUGUCCAGUUCUUGGAUUUUUCUUUUCUUCUCCGUUUUGGAUCUGCUUCUUUACAGAUCUGUUCUUUUCGUUUCUCCAGGUGGCGGUAGGCUCUGAGGUCACAGCAUCUUCUCCUCCUCGUCCGGUGCUAGAUCUGGCAGUUGCUCCGUGGCUGUUGAAGCUGUUGUUCGGGGAGCUCCUACGAUUUCAUGGCUGUGGUGGCCAAGGGGAGCUGGCGGCUGAGGAAGGGAAGACCUGCUGGCUGAAGAAGGAAAUCGUGAGUCUGAGGAGAUGGGAAUGGCUCUAGUUCUGUGAGCUGGAGGAUGGCAGAUCGGUGAGGAUGGAGAGAAAGGGUCUUUUGGUUCUGCUGUCUUUCCCUCUUUCGUUAUUGCCGCUGCUGUCUUUGGUUGUUGAAGGUGAUUCUGUCUUCGGUGACCGAUUUGGUGAGUUUGGGUGCAGUAGGUAGUGGCUGUCUUGGCUGAGAGGAGGAGACUCCUUCGGGUCAUAGGGGAAGGAAAAGCUGUUGGCGGGCCAGAAGCAAGGAAACCGUCAUGGAGUGGGAGCAGCGGCUUGUGAAAAAUCCAAAGGGAAAAGGGGCCGGUUGGAGUUUUUUUGAAGGAGAAGGCUGCGGCUACAGUCUUGGAUAAAAUAGGGAGAAGGGAGUAGAUUCCCAUGGUGGAGAGGGUUUCUCUUGGUCGCUGCCCGGAGGUUGUUGGACGGGUGCUGCCAAAUCUCCAGCGAGGCAGCUGGUUCGGGUGGUCCUUCUUUGGCAAAGGAAGGGUGGUGGCAGCCGGUUCAAGAGAACCGGCUGAGGGAGAAGAGAAAAUAAAUCAAAAGGGGAGCUGGCAGCUGUUAUCGGAGAAGAAGGAAAAAAUUUCCCAAAAGGGGGCGGUCCCCUGGCGGCUGCUUUCAUUAGGGAAGAAGAAAAGUUUAGUUUUUUAAGGUUCUCUCUUUCCUCCUAAAAUUACAAAAUGAACCCCCCUUUACUGACUUUUGUAAGCUGCUAUUUAUAGGCAAGGCAUUUUUUCGGAUCUCAAAAUUGAUCUCUCAAUUUUUCAAUCAAUUCACUUGGUAAAAAUUAAAUUUGGUCUUAAAAUUUCAAUCUUUUCAAUUAAGUCCAAAUUAGGUUCCCAAACAUAAUUUUUCACCAAUUAAGCCCCAAAUAAAAUUAAUUUGACCCAUUUAAAGUAUAAUUAAGUCUUUGCACUUAAUUAAAUCCUUCAAUUGGACCCAAAUUAAUUCUUAAACAUAAUUAAAAUUUAAUUUGGCCCAUGAUUAAAUCAAAUUGGCCCAUUAAAAAUUUAAUUAUGUCAUUGGACUUAAUUUUUAUGCAAAUUCAUCCAAUAAUCAUUUAAUUUGACCUUCGAAUAUGCAUUUAAUUUGACCUUUGAUUUUUGCCUAUUUUUGCAGUCCUUUUUUAUCAGCUUUCCUCCACAUUGCCAGCCUUUAUUUAAUUUUUAUUUUUUAUUUUGAAAAAAAAAUUUUGGGGAAUAACCCAAAUUGGGUUAUGACAGUUGCCCCCCUCUUUACAAUGCUUAUGAUAGAAAGUCUCGUAGGAGACUUAGAUAGUAAGCGUUGUAAAGAAGAAAAAAAAGGAAGAUUUUUUGUUUUUUUUUGAAAAUUCAAAGAUUUUGAAAUGGUCGAAUUGUCAUGGGUGACCUACCCGGGUGAAAAACACGAAGAUGUUUUAAAAGGUGAAAAAUACAGAGAUUUUUCAAAGAGGUGAAAAAUAAAGAUUUUUCAAAGUGGUGAGAAAUGCGAAGAUUUCUCAAAGUGGUGAAAAAUGAAAGAUUUUUCAAAGUGGUGAAAAAUGCAAAAUUUUUCAAAGUGGUUUGUUGUAAUGGGCAACCGGCCCAAGAUGGAAAAGGUUGAAAAUGCAAAGAUUUUCAAAGAUGAAAAAUGCAAAGAUUUUUCAAAGUGGUGAGAAAUGCGACGAUUUCUCAAAGUGGUGAAAAUGCAAAGAUUUUUCAAAGUGGUUUGUUGUAAUGGGAAACCGGCCCAAGAUGGAAAAUGAAAAGAGUUGGUGAAAAAUGCAAAGAUUUUUCAAAGUGGUUGAGUAAUGGCGAACCGGCCCAGAAAAGGUGAAAAAUACAAGAUUUUUCAAAGAGGUGAAAAAUGCAGAGAUUUUUCAAAGUGGUGAAAAAUAGAAGAUUUCUCAAGUGGUGAAAAAUUUUGGAGGUGGUGAGAAAUGCAAAGAUAUCUCAAAAUGGUUUUAUUGUUAUGGGCAAUCGGCCCAAAUGGAAGAAUUUUGAAGGUGGGGAGAAAUGCAAGGACUUCUCAAAAUGGUUUUAUUGUUAUGGGCAACCGGCCCAAAUGGAAGAAGUUUGAAGGUUGGGGAGAAAUGCAAGGAUUUCUCAAAAUGGGUUUCAUUGUUAUGGGCAACCGACCCAAAUGGAAAAGUUUGAAGUGGGGAGAAAUGCAAGGAUUUCUCAAAAUGGUUUCAUUGUUAUGGGCAACCGGCCCAAAUGGAAGAUGAAAAGAGUUUUGAAAGAGAUCUGAUUAUAAUGGGUGACCUACCCGGGCAAAAAGGCAAAAUGUCUGAAAGGGACGACAUGAUAGGACUCGAUGGGAACGAGGGCUGAAGAGCGCACUGAAAGGAGGUAGGGAGAAAAACACACUACCUAAGAGGUGAGUGCUCCAAGGCGCACUCUAAAGGACGCAGGGUUGGAAAACGCAUUACCUAAAAGGUGAGGGCUCAAAGCCACACUCAAAAGAGAUAGGGUUGGAAAACACACUACCUAAAGUGGUUGAGGCUCUAAAACGCACUCAAAAGAGGCAGGGUUGGAAAACACACUACCUAAGGUGAGGUCUCGAAGAGCACUCGAAGUAAGGUAAGGAGGUAAGGUUGGAAAACGCACUACCUAAGUGGUGAUGGCCCUAAGGCGCACUUAAAAGGAUAGGGUUGGAAAAACACUACCUAAAGUUGAUGGCUAAGGCGCACUUAAAAGGAGAUAGGUUGGAAAACCACACUACCUAAAGAGUUGAAGGCUCAAAGGCACUUAAAAGAGAUAGGGUUAGAAAACACACUACCUAAGGGUGGGCUAAGGCGCACUUAAAAGGAGAUAGGGUUGGAAAACGCACUACCUAAAGUGGUGAGGGCUCGAAGGAGCUCUCAAAAAGGAGGUAAGGUGGAAAACGCACUACCUAAGGUGUGAGGGCUCAAAGGUGCACUCGAAAAGAGGUAAGGAGGUAAGGUUGGAAAACGCACUACCUAAGUGGUUGAUGGCCCUAAGGCGCACUUAAAAGGAGAUGGGUUAAAAACGCACUACCUAAGGGUGAGGCUCUAAGGCGCACUCAAAAGGAGGUAGGGUCAGAAAACACACUACCUAAGUGGUUGAGGGCUCUAAGGCGCACUAAAAAGGAGGUAGGUUAGAAAACACAUUACCUAAGGGUGAGGGCUAAGAGCCUAAAAAAGGUAGGGUUGGAAAACACACUACCUAAAAGGUUAGGGCUCGAAGGCGCACUAAAAGAGGUAGGGUUAGAAAACACACUACCUAAGGGUGAGGGCUAAGACGCCUCAAAAGGAGGUAGGGUUGGAAAACACACUACCUAAAGGUUAGGGCUCGAAGGCAACUAAAAAAGAGGUAGGGUUAGAAAACACACUACCUAAGGUGAGUGCUCAAGGAGCUCUCAAAAGAGGUAGGGUUGGAAAACACACUACCUAAGAGGGUUAGGCUCAAGCCACUAAAAAAAGGUGAUGGUGAGACACCGAUCUGUCAAGGAUGAAAGUAAUGCAUCAUGAUCAAUAUGCAUGUAUACUUACCUGAGAAUAUAGGUCCCCUUUUCUUCAUGGAGUUCUCCUUUUCUCAAAAGUUUGAGUCUCUGAUAGUAAGCUUUGAUGGCUUUUGUCCCCUUGCUUACUCGAGAAAUAUCUUACGAUCUUGGCCUCUAGGAAAGACUUGAUGCCAUCAUUUCUUUGUUCUCCGCCCUUUUAUCUCAAGGGUUGCCAAUUUUGCCCAAUUGUUUCUUAGAAAGGGAAUCAUGGAGCCAGCUCUACCAGAUGUUUUUGAUUGCCCCUAGCUUGAUCAUGCCCCCAAGUAUUCAAUUCGGGUUUGGGGAUGAGGCUAUGUGAAGGAAGGUUUGACAAGGAGUUGUUUUCAUGCAGAAUUUUUGGAAUUUCAAAGCUAUUCCAAACACAGAAAUCAUUUUGACAUCGAUUCAAAGCAAACUCAUUCUGAAGAAAUUCAAGUGAUUCCUAUGGAGAGGUUUUCAGAAGUGAUGAAAACUUUUUUUGUUUUGAUUUUUGGUGAAAAAUAUGAAGUGACAUUUGGUUGGUCACAAAAGGUUGAAAUUUCAAUUUGAGGGUUAUUGAGAACCGUUGGUGAAAAUGUGAAGAACACGAAGUGACAUCUGGUUGGUCACAAAAGGUUUAAAUUUCAAUUUGAGGGUUAUUGAGAACCGUUUUCAAAGCAUUCAUUUUAUUUGCAUGAAUAAUGAUUUUUUUCGCAUGAGAAAGCACUGCCUACCGAUCCAGAUUGCUUGCCUUUGAUCAGAAAGGGCUUGAUUAGGCACGUAAUGUAGGCUUGGGCUUUUGGCUAUGAAGAAAAUGAUAUUUGUAGGCUCAAAAGGUGUUUAAGGGACUUUAAGACUAAGGAUCACUAGUGCUUAUAUCCCAAACUCUUUUGUUCAUACAUUUAUGGACCUUGGAAUUGAUUUGUAAAAUGGUCCACGGUGCCCCCCAGUGUUGGGCUUGGGCUCUUUCUCUUUGUUUUUGUUUUCUUCAUUUGAUUUUGAGCAUCAUUGCAUUGGCCUUGUUUUUUUUUUGCUCAAAAUUUUUGGAUCCUUUGGAUUUUUCUUCAUGCCCCCUAGCUUUGUAUGGGCACCUUUGAUGAUUGAGAAUUUUCUUUUAUGCCCCCCAGUAUUGUUUGGGCACUUUCAUCGUUGAAGACUUUUUCAUGCCCCAAGAGUUAUUUGGGCACUUUCAAUCAUUAUGGAUUUUUUUGCACUUGCCCCCCAGUGUAGGGUGUGAUCCUAGCCAAGGUUAUUUUUCAAGAAAAAUUUAUUAGGCUCAAAAGGGGACUGCAAAUGAUAUAUUUCAGCCUUGUGAAAGGAUUAUCAAAGAUGGCCUUUCUUCAUCUCAAAUGCAUGCAUUUAGGAUCGGUAAGCCUUGCUUUCAUGCGAGUAUGCAAGUGAUUUCUCAUUAUUCAUGCAAUCAAAACUCAGCUUUUGGAGUCACUUCAUGUGUGUUUUUUUUUUUGGUUUUCUAGGUGUAUGGUUACCUCUCUAAGGAAUCACCUGAAUUUCCAGAACUCGUUUGUUUCGGACAAACAUCAACAUGAUUUCUGUUUUUGUACUAAACUUUGAAUUCCCAAAAAUCCUUAUGAAACAUGCAUGUUUUGGGAAGAAAAGGGAAACGCACCACAAGAUUUUGGGCGCUGGUUUCAUGCUUAAAGGUUAUGCUCAAUGUGUUAUUUGCAUGAAACAACAAAAAUGAAGGCAUGUGAUGAACAGCAAAACACAUGAUCAUAACAAGAAAGGCUCAGUGGACAGGGAAAGUCUUGUGGAAUUUUGAGCCAAAUUACCAACAAAAACUGGAAUAGGUUGAAACAAAAAAAAUCAAGUUUUUGGAGGCAUGAUCAAACAGAGGUAGUUAUUUUGGCAGAGCAAGAACAGGCUCUAUUCUGCAACGGUGAUGCAAUUCACCUUCAAAUUGUGUUGAGGCUCUUGAUCAUGUGGGCCCCCAAUUUCUUCGGGUUGAGUCUUUGUUGGGGCUUUGAACAAAAAUGACUGGCCGAUUGGAAGGACCUUCACUAGAGGCAUUUCUAAGUGUUUGCUCGAGUAAGCUAGUGAGGCGAGCCACAUUUGCUUUCAGAGACUCUAACUCUUCUUGGAAAUGGAUGCUGCGGUGAGCACGCUCUUUGUCUCCAAUGUUUUUCUCUCAAAAUCAGGUGUUGUAGACUCGGAGGGGACCUACCUUUCAUCCAGAUGCAUGCAUGCCAAAUGUAUGAAUAUGAAGUCUAUAUGAUGAACUCGCCCUUCGAGGGGUGACAUAUGAUCGUAACUCUUGUAUGAUGGAACAAGAAUCAUGAUUCUUGCCCAAACUCUACAAUGAAAAUUUUUGGAGUGACGGUCAUUCUACCACCCACAAGGGUUCGCCCCGAUGCAAAUAAUUGAUAGCACAUACAUCCUAAGGACAAGUUCUAUUCACUAUGUGAACAUGGGUAGGUUUUCUACCUGGUCUCAAAAGGGUCUAUGAACUGCCUAGUGACCACCUCACGUGAAGGCAGUGUAGGGGUUUACAUGGAAUGGUUGGGGCACCAUGUGACCGCCAUUACCGAGUAAACACUCAGCUCAUAGUUGGAUGUUUCACAAAUCUAAACCCCGACUGAAAGUCAUGAGGUAGACUGCUACUCCCCACCUAACUUAGAGGCUUGUGUGUGCUUUCAAAAAUAAAUACAAGUGAUGCAUGAAACAAUUCUAAAAAUGCAUGCAUAAAAUAAAACAAGACAAAAAUGGCAAAACUUAAACACUUGAAUGCACAAAGCUUAGUCCAAUAUUGUCAGAAACAACACCUCCCCAGUGGAGUCGCCAUUCUGUCGCACGUCGAAAAAAUCCCGCAGCCGGCAAUCGAGGUUAGUCCAAUUUAUGUCUUGUUGUUGUUGCAUUUGCUUGAAUUUGUUUGUUAGGAGUCGCCACCUAGUAUUUAAUUGAGGUUACUAGGAAACCCUGGUGGACUGGUCAUGGUCAGAGAUUCACGGGUAAGGAACUUAUUGUGGUUAGGGAAGGUAUUAGCACCCCUAACGCACCCUACCUGAGGUAAGCUGCUCCGUGGACUUGAUGUGUUAAAGAAGUUUUAAAAUUUUUUUCUUUUCAUCAGAUUUUAGAAAUACAACUUUUCGUACAAGUUUGUACUUCUACACCGUGAUCCAAUCAAAAUAUUAAAUCCUUCUUUAUUCUUUGCCUGUCUUAUUAUAGAAAAACCUUCACAAAUAAAACACACACCACACAUUCACUUUCAAGCUUCAUGAGCUUGAUAUAAUUUUAAAAAUAAAAUUUUUAACCCAAUUCCAAGGCUUUGAUAAAUUAGUUAUUAAUUCCCAGAAUAUAUGUAAAAACAUGUUCUUAUAUUUUCAUAAAAAAUACAACAUGACUUUAUCUAUCCUUAGAUAUUUGUGCAUGUAAAAUUAAACAAUUACUUCUAUUUGUCCUUUUUUAUUUUUUUAAUUCAAUAACAUAAAAUUAAAAAAAAAAAAAGAACACCAACACACACACACACACACACACACUCCUUUUUUAUUAUUUUUCACUAAGCUCACCCCACACCUCACUUUUACAUAUUACCAAAUAACAAAAAUUAAAAAUUCAUCCAAACAAAGCCUUAAAAAUUUCUAAAAUUACAGAAAAGACCCCCAAAAAAUACAGAACCGCAGGGAAGCCUUCUGGGAUCAGCCGGACUAGUGGCGGCGCGUGGAUUUCACGCACCGCCGCCACUGGCGGCGCGUGGAUCCGCGUGCCGUCGCCGGGAAGACCAGCUAGUGGAUCGAGGUCGUCUCCUUCUCCUCUUUCCGCUCGUACCGGCGGUGACCUGCAAACAAGAAAAAGGAAACGCAGG
rnacentral:lncRNA from 1 species